UCAACACAAAGACUACCUUGUUUGUUUUAUGACAUAGAUUUAAUAUAGCCCAGUGGGUCUGCAGCUAAUUUAUUAAAUGACAAAAAUAAUCAUCACAAAAAAUGCGGAAUGACUAACAGCACCCUAAUUUGGUUCCAAAAUAAAGCUCUACUAUAAUGUAAUAAAUACAAAACACCAAUUUUAAAUUAGUACUUUAAUUCCAAAAAACAUUUGUUAAAAUCUAAAUCCCAAAUUCAGAACUCAUCACACUGUUCCUCCAGUUUCAUUUUUUCACAGUUCAUCCUAGGAUGAAGAUGCAGGGUUACUUGGAUGCACACUUGGAUGACACGUCACACGUUUCUAUGCUGCCCUCUGCAGGACAGACACUUUAAGGCAACAUGACUGUCUGUUAACAGAGCAGGCACAGCACUUCAGAUGCAUCAUUUCACUGAACCAAAGUCACAGAACAGUAACUGGGAUAAGACAAAAAACAUUGGUAACCGGAACUACAAACUCUGUAACUUUACUUUUAGAACAUGCUUUGACAUACAGCAUGUGUUUCUAAGCAGCAGGUCAAUCAUGAUGAUUUUAACAGUCGUCUUAUAAAACAGAGAAGCAUCCUGAGACAAACUCUGACAUGCAUCUAAUUAGACCAAACACUAAGAUUAAAGAAAUGCUACAGCAGUUCUUCACAGGCAUCUUUAUAUAUUUAAAAAGAAUUUUAAGAUAUCAAGUGGUUAUUGAAAAAAUUACUACAGAAGCUGUGAGAAGCCAGUCAGACAGAUAACGAGUGGUCUUUUUCGAGGCAAAAAUUGAUUUUUCGUCACUCCUGUGUUAAUGCAACUCAUUCUCAUUCCCAAGGCUUCAAAUGCAGUCAUUUUAGAUGAUACACACAAAGUGUCCGUUGGCAUUGAUGCACUGACACACUGGAUUAUGGCAUUAGUUAGCGGCUGUCGUUCCCAGUUGGUCACAUAAGGAUGACCAUAAACUACUCCUUUCACAUCUGAAUGUACUUGGUAAGUUUUUUUUCUUGAAUGUAGAGUGUUAAUGUUGUGAAGGGGCAUCUUGUAAAAAGUGUGAUCUUUCCUAAGCAAGUAGUUUUUGAUGGUUAGAUGUAACCAGUGGGUGAUAGCAUUUAGAAAAAAUAAAAAGCUUAGAAAUGUAUUUUCUUUUGAAACGUGAUAAAGGAAGUGGAAGCCACCAAGCUCUGAAAUGUGGCACGAACUGCAGUCUCCUGGUGACAAACUCAUGACUUCUUUCACAUCUCCUCUAACCUCCGAAAGCGUAUUUUGUCGGCCUUUAAAAGAGGACCCAUUAUGUCUCAGCACCUAAUAUUGCCUCAGCCAGUGCAUCAAGGGACAGACGCCAAAAGGACACUUCAUGGUAUCUCUGCAGCACUGGCAGUAUCUCACAUAAAUGCUUUAUCUGUCACCUGAGAAUGAGAAUGAAUUGAUUUAUGACUUAAGAACAGGCAGGACAAAGAAAAAAAAAAAAUUCUAUAUUUAAUAUUAUUCAUAUGGGAGAACAGAUGAAAGAAAACAGACUGUUUAAGAGGGUAAAACUCUUUUUUUUUUCCUUCUUCAUAAAUCUGCCCAAAAUUCACAAUGUGUUUGUACAGUACAAUUUUUGGUCAAGAGGUUGUCCCUGUGUUUUGAAUGGAAUAUAAACUCUUAUGUGAGAAUGAGUGCAAAGGACAGUAACACUGAUGACUAUAAAAGAUAAGAAAAGGUGGUAAUUUAGACACAUUUUACUUCAAGUUAAACCCAACACACCCCUAACACGCUACGAUACAUUUCUAUCCACAAGAAAUUCAUAAAAGUAAUGUUAAAAAUGUGCCAACACACAAUGUAAGUGCCUCAUGUUUAUACUAAAUGCUGAAAUUAACAUUAGGGCAUUUAGUUUUAUUUAUGAUAUGGAAUAGAGAUACCUCUAGUGGCCAAAAUUAGUACUGCAAAAAACACUUUUUCCCUGUAAAAUAACAAAUUUAGAAAGAUUACUCUGGCGAAAGAAAUUCCAAUUAGUCAAAUACAGGAGAGUUAAGACCGUAGAUAAUGUGAAUAAACCCUCACUUUGCCACCAGGGCUUCUACACAAAAGAGCCUCUUCAUUAGGAUUUUGACAGCCUCCUCCUCUGCUUCAGUUUCUCCAAUAAUUUCCUUCUCACUUAUAAAAUGUAGCAUUAGCAAGACUGGUCCUCAUCUCCUCUAGAUCUGAGAGUGAAAUGCUAACAGAGGAAAGAAGUAAAAUACAAAACAUCUGAUAAACUACAAUGUAACUUUAACCUGCGGAAAGUCGAUUUCCAGUUCUAAAAUAUAAAUUAAUCAACAAGGAAGAUAACAAAAAAAAUCAGUACCAAGACUACAGCCCACAUGGUAAACGUUGGUUGGAAUGGUUCUCCAAAAGUUGAAUCUGUUCAUCUGGACAUUUACUUUCCUGGAUGAUUGAGGAUGCAUCAAGACGUUGGAAUGGUUAUUAUGGAAUUAUGUAACAGCUUGUUUAGUCAUGCUUCAGUAAUGGCUUUGGUAUUUACUGUUACUGUCUAUCAGAGUUACACUGAGGACAAGGUCAUGCUGGGUUUGUUUAUAAGCUUCAUAAGUAGAUUUUACAACUCUAUAAAUCCUAAUCAUGGUCUUGGUAUAAUAUGAUAACAAUCAAAGGUUAGAAAAGGACAUAUUUAAGCAAUAAUUGUUAAUUAAAUUGUUACAAUCACGUACCAAUCUGUAGCUAAAAUUAUCAUGGAUAUCUAUCUAUAAUUUUAUUAUCCGUCAUUCUAAUAACCCAUUACAGACCCUUUAGAUUAAGUCAUUUCUAACUAAUAUCAUACCAUUAGUAUUUAUGGUAAUCAGAAGAGGAUUAGCUCCUUACUGGAAGUUGGUGCUCCAAAUAUAAAAACAAUUCGACUUCUAGCUGUAAUGUAGAGGUAGAGCUAAAGGAGAGGGAAAGCAUACACCAGCAUUAUCAAACUGUGCAUGUCUUCCUUCCUUCCCUUCUUUCCUUUGAUGAACAGCAGAGUGACUGUGGGUGUAUUGAUAGGCAGUGAGGGUGGCUGAAGAGCGGCUGGUCGGAGGGCAAUCAGGAGAUGAUACGAAUGCCAAAGUAUUUCUUGAGCUGCUCAAGGAA